UUUUAGUCAGUCACAAAUGUUCGUGGUAAGAUGAGGUUUGAUUUUGUGUAGGAUGUAUGGAUAGGCUGACUGUGGAGUAUGCCAAUGAGCUCGAAACAAUAUUCAGGUGCAGAAAUAUUAAAGGUUGAAGACUCAAAGACACAAAGUAACGAACGACAACGCUUUAAAACAGGACAAUUUAUCAUUGCACCAAAAGAAAUUCAUCAAGUGCCAGGUUUUCAUCAUUGAGUGAGAUGGAGGCCUAUCAAGUCUGAAGAUUAGGUCUACAUGUUUAUAAACCUCGAAAGGUAUGAAGUACACAUUGACGAUGACAAAAGUGUGUUUUAUUUGGAGGCAGCGUAUUUUUCGUGUAGUUUUCUAAAACACUGCUUGAAAGAGUCAUUGCAUCAAACAGAAUCGACAUUGUUAAUAGUCUGGUGCUUCACAGAGUGAGAUAGAAGCCUAUAUAGUCGAAAGAGUAAAUAACAAUUUUCUAAAACACUGUUUGAAAGAGCCAUUGCAUCAAACAGAAUCGACAUUGUUAGUAGUCUGGUGCAUCACAGAGUGAGAUAGAAGCCUAUAUAGUCGAAAGAGUAAAGAGCAUUAUCCUCACAAGAUGUCCAAAAUAUUUCUCCCAAUUUUAUUGAUAUGCUUUCGUAAAGUCAUGUUAAUUCAAUGGUUUCUGCACGCUAGUUCACGGGCAAGUGUUCAGUUUUUCGUCGGUAUGCUAUAAAUUUUGCUGCUUUGUUAAUUUCGUAUACUCAAUUUCCGAAAAGACGCGGGUUAUGUUUCUUUUUGGGCUUUCUGCUAUCGAUGGCAAGUAUCGAAGUAUGUAUGUGCCAGACGCCAGCAAUGGGGUUAUAAUACUGGCAAUGGGGCAUUUGCGGUUGCAUUCAUACAAUUGAUCGGGCCUCAUUUUAUAGUAUUUAUUAUAUUCAUAUUUUAUGGAUUUCUUCCCUCGCCAUAGCGUUUUGUUAGUUUUUCAAUAAUCCAGAACAGAAGUUUUAACCAGGAUUCAAUCGAGUUUUUGGUGUUCGUUGGAGCUGUUCCAAGGUUUUGACGAGGGUCCUUUAAAUUAAAACAGUUUUAUAUCAUGGCUUUUUUCUAUUACAUCGUCCUCAAAUUUUGCAAAUUUAACUGCAGUUCAUCUCAGAUAUUUAAACUUACACGUUCAACAACUAAUAAAUUAGCCUUGCUGU